rnacentral:rRNA from 1 species
CCUACGGGCGGCAGCAGUGGGGAAUAUUGGACAAUGGGGGGAACCCUGAUCCAGCCAUGCCGCGUGUGUGAAGAAGGCCCUCGGGUUGUAAAGCACUUUCAGUGAGGAAGAACGCCUGGUGGUUAAUACCCAUCAGGAAAGACAUCACUCACAGAAGAAGCACCGGCUAACUCCGUGCCAGCAGCCGCGGUAAUACGGAGGGUGCGAGCGUUAAUCGGAAUUACUGGGCGUAAAGCGCGCGUAGGUGGCUUGAUAAGCCGGUUGUGAAAGCCCCGGGCUCAACCUGGGAACGGCAUCCGGAACUGUCAAGCUAGAGUGCAGGAGAGGAAGGUAGAAUUCCCGGUGUAGCGGUGAAAUGCGUAGAGAUCGGGAGGAAUACCAGUGGCGAAGGCGGCCUUCUGGACUGACACUGACACUGAGGUGCGAAAGCGUGGGUAGCAAACAGGAUUAGAUACCCGGGUAGCC